rnacentral:lncRNA from 1 species
UCACAGCACCUGCGCUGCAGUUGUGGCUUGUGUUUGGGCUGAUGGCCACCUUCCUGCAUGCUCUCCAAGCUGGUGUAUGGGGUGGGUGUGUCACUCUGGAAACAAUUUUUGCCCUUCUGUUUCCUCCAGCCCAUGUUGCUUUGCAAUUCCAGGAGCAGCAUUCCCCCUGAAUGUCCAGAUCACCCCCGUUUUCCUGACCGAAGAGGAAGCUGCCAGUCUCCAUGAGUUCCCAGUGGAGCAGAUGCCCAGGUAGUUCAGGGAUCACCCAGGGAUUCAUCUAACCACACAUGCAAGGAGCUUGCUUACAUGUCCAUUGAAAGAAGUCCUGCUACUUCCCAUCCCUCCUCAGUUCCAUCGCCUCCCCGUUUUGUGUUAGAGGCAGGCAUCUGCAUCUUGAAGGUGUUGAUCUGAGAGUGGGCUCAAAUCCUAGACCUCUUCCAUGUCUCUUUCAGAUGUUCAUUGUGACAGUGCCUCAUAGGAGACCCUCCAGGUGUGGAUGACUGUUACUCAGGGGGCCCUAUUUUCAGUAGGAGGUCUUGGGAAGCCCCACGGGCUGGAUGCUACCUUCCUUUUACUCCUGUGGUUUGACGGUGAUAGCAUCUUAGGCUCUGUAGCCUCAGGCACCCAUUUGUCACUGACCCUGUCCCAGUUAGGGAAUCGGUGCUUUCCUCUCCCAGGAACUGCUCAGUCAGUGUUCCCCUUCUUUACAUGUGUCUUGUUCACCAGGCCAGCCAGACUUCAGGAUGGCACAGUCCAGCAUCUUGCAAAGGAUUGGAGCACAUCUGCUUUAAAAAAAGAUGCCGCCAGGCAAGUGGCCUCUGAGGCUCAGAUGUCAGCUGCCACCCUGGACCCCAUGUCCCCUGACAGAGUGUGGCCAAAUGGCAAGGGAGAGAAUGGACAUUUACCUGGCCAUGAGAUGGAGGACUGGGGGCCCACAGGACUACACACUACUGCCAAGGGCCAGGUCCCUGGCCUCAGCUGCCCUCUGCACAAGGAACCAGGCUUUCCCCAGGAGGAGACUGACUUGUCUGAAAUCCACAUUCCAGAAGCUCAGGAAGUAGGAGGAUCCUCAGGUCAUUAUACCUUCCUACAAAUGUAUGCCCCGGGUGGCAGAGGUCUUUACCAUGAGCACCCUGUCAGUGAUGCCAGCAACCUGGAACCCAUGCCAUCUGAGGACAUGGCUACCAGCUGCAGUCUCUCUGCCUCACUUGAUGUGCUCACCCAGAAUGGAGCCCAAGAGCAGCAUGAAGACCUUCCUGGUACCAGCAACCACAGCCUUGUUCCUGGAACAGACCCCCUCCCCACACAGACCAGCUGGCCAUUGUCGCCUCACCCAGAUCCAGAGCAGAAAGGAAGCAAGCUUCUUGGGGGGCACCAAGGUGUAGAUCAGCAGGUUGAUGGAGUCCGUGAGAGCCUCGCAGCCACUGGUUUACAAUGCAUUUCAGAUUCAGCAGACUCCCAGGGUGAUAACCCCUCUACAGACAGAGCUGACCCCAGGCUGACCCCAGUAGGGGGCCCCAUGAGACUCGUGCAGAUGAACCUCUACACUCACAGUGUUAAGGGGUUGAUGCUGUCGCUGCUGGCUGAGGCACCACUGCUAAGAGACAGCUCAGCCAUCGAGGAGGUGGAACGCCUCCACGGCUGUGUAUGCCUGCUGCAGCCCUGCCCAAGAGACCUACUUCCAGCCACUGAUGUCCGACACCCGGAGCUCCGGCUUCCCGAACCCACAGGAUGGAGCCUUCAGCCUGGCGGGCAAAGCCAAGCAGAAGCUGCUGAAGCAUGGAGUAAACUUGCUGUGAGCCAGGCCUCAGCCCAGGUUCAUUGCCCAGCAACAGCCCUGAGACUGCACCAGCAAAGGAAGCUCUGCCUUUUAUAA